rnacentral:rRNA from 1 species
CGGAGGGGCGUAGCGUUGUUCGGAAUUACUGGGCGUAAAGCGCACGUAGGCGGACUGGAAAGUUGGGGUGAAAUCCCGGGGCUCAACCUCGGAACUGCCUUCAAAACUAUCAGUCUGGAGUUCGAGAGAGGUGAGUGGAAUUCCGAGUGUAGAGGUGAAAUUCGUAGAUAUUCGGAGGAACACCAGUGGCGAAGGCGGCUCACUGGCUCGAUACUGACGCUGAGGUGCGAAAAGCGUGGGGAGCAAACAGGAUU